AUAACAUAAAUCAUUUAGGAUUCUAGAGCCAAUGUUUAGAAGUCUGAAUAAAAACAAAACUAAAAGAUGCUAUAACUCUUAAAUCAUACUCCUAAAUUCCUGCUAAAUAGUAAAAUAGCAAUAUUUCUUGAGAAAUUACUCGUUAUUAAGAGCAGCUCAGUCUUCAUUGUGACAAAAGAAAUAUGUUGGAUGUUGUCAAUCCAUAAUGCAG
rnacentral:misc_RNA from 1 species